AACAAAAGAAAGAAAAGAAAGAAAAGAAAGCGAAAAAGGUAUGAAAAAGCCAACUGAACCUUCUUAUCUUUCCUUCUUUGCGACUUC
rnacentral:ribozyme from 1 species